AUGUUUUAUCAUAGAGACAUCAGAAAGCCUGAUGACGGUGAGACUGUUGAAGCUGUGGUUGUUCUCAGGUUAGUUAGAAUACCUCUACUACAUCUCUAUAGUCUACUCUGUCCUGGAUCAGUUUGCCUUGCUCUUCCUUUUAGUCAUGCUCAUCAUAAUCUCACUUUUAGUGACCAAGGAGGUGAGCCAGGAGAGGAGAGCAGGCAGCCCAUGGACAAUGAAGAGACAGGCGCUGACAACCCUCUGCUGAAUGGAGAUGCCAGUGGCCAAGGAGAGGAAGGUGUUCUAGGAAUGGAGGAUGGAAAGCUGUCAGACAAGGACAGAGCAGACACUGAAAUCUGUCAGAAGACACAUGCUGAUUCCCCUCCACUGAAUGUACCCAAGGUUGUCAGGGUUAACAGCCAGACUGAUGACACACAGCUUCUUGGUCAACCUCAGAGCAAUGGACAUGUGCCAUAUAGAAGGGUUAACGAUGAGACUAAGGAAGCAACUCCUGGUGCACAGAGUCCAGGACCUCCUCAGAUGAAUGGAGGUCCUCCCAUGUCUGACAGGUUGGAGAACAACCCUGUUGGUCAGCGCAUGAAGAAAACUGCUCUGGUGAACAAGCAGGACCAGGACUGGUCAGCAACGGCAUGUAGCCAGUUGAAAAUAUAUAGUAUAUAAGAUGAAACUAAGUGUAAAUAUAACAUUAUAUACACUGUAAUAUAGAACAGUAUAAUAUGACAUGAUAUACACUGUAAUAUAGAACAGUAUAAAAUAACAUGAUAUACACUGUAAUAUAAAACAGUAUAAUAUAAUAUGACAUGAUAUACACUGUAAUAUAGAACAGUAUAAUAUGACAUGAUAUACACUGUAAUAUAGAACAGUAUAAUAUGACAUGAUAUACACUGUAAUAUAGAACAGUAUAAUAUGACAUUAUAUACACUGUAAUAUAGAACAGUAUAAUAUGACAUGAUAUACACUGUAAUAUAGAACAGUAUAAUAUGACAG
rnacentral:lncRNA from 1 species